rnacentral:rRNA from 1 species
CCUACGGGUGGCAGCAGUCGGGAAUAUUGCGCAAUGGAGGAAACUCUGACGCAGCGACGCCGCGUGCAGGAAGAAGGUUUUCGGAUUGUAAACUGCUUUAGACAGGGGAGAAACAAGACAGUACCUGUAAAAUAAGCUCCGGCCAACUACGUGCCAGCAGCCUCGGUAAUACGCAGGGAGCAAGCUUUAUCCGGAGUUAAUGGGGGUAAAGGGUGCGUAGGCGGGGAGUCAAGUUGAGUGUGAAAUCCCUGGGCUUAACUGAGGAACUGCAACCGAAACUAACUAUCUUGAGUGCGGGAGAGGAAUGUGGAAUGCCUGGUGUAGCGGUGAAAUGCGUAGAUAUUAGGAAGAACACCAGUGGCGAAGGCGACUUUCUGGACAGUAACUGACGUUGAGGCACGAAAGUGUGGGGAGCGAACAGGAUUAGAUACCCUAGUAGUC